rnacentral:lncRNA from 1 species
UGUAAUAAUGUUUGUUGGUUGAAAACAUGCUUGAUUUGGAUCUUUGUAAUGUCUAGGAUGUUUUUGUGGAGUGAUGGCCACAACUGCAUCAAUUAAUAAAAUAAAGUUAAUAGUUUUGGGUCCCAAUCUUGGUUCGUUGUUCCUUUUAUCUACCUUAUAAAAUCAUCAUUCUUAUACAAGAUCUAUUCCUCUAACACUCAGAUGGUAAACACCAGGUCAGGAGGAGGACAAGAUAUUCCAAGUACGAGGCGUGCUCACGUGGUUAACCAACAGAAUCAUGCACCAUCCCCACCGCCUUCAACAAUAGAACCAUUUUUGGCUGCCCAGAUGCAACUGCUCCAAAAUCUCACUGCAGCUGUUCAGAAUCUACAAGCUCAACAGAAUCAGCAACCACCCCAAGCACCUCAGGCACCAAGGGACAAACAUAGGGAAUUCAUGAGUCACCAC